rnacentral:lncRNA from 1 species
UCUACUCACCCGUUUGUGACAAUCCAUGAGAAUGAGGCGCUGAUGUCCAAAAAGCUUGAUAACACACUUUUGGGAAAGAUGAGGGCAGAUGGCAGCAUAAGCUCUGGCAACCUGGCCUUGAACACAGAGAAGAACAGUGAGAAUAACUCAACAACAGAAGAGGAAGACAACAUCAUAAUCUCCUCACUGCUGAUUACUGAAUCUGAGGAGCCGAAAGCUAACCCUGCAAAAGAUGGAUCCUGGCAAGGUGGUGCGACCUCUUUCAACCUUACCAAGGUAAAGAUGGAAGCCUUUGAGACACACAUUUAAUUGUUUGUGACAUAAAUGGAUGACAAAACAGAACGGGGUAGAGAUUAAGGCAACACUUUAUUUUAAGUGUAAUAAACCCCUUAAACCAUUUAUAAGGCAUUUAUGAAGUGUGUUAACCAUUUAUUAAUCAUUACUCCCACAUUUAUAAACCUUUUACUAAUCAUUAGUUAUUAAGUCUUUUUGCAGCCCCUAAUCUAAAGUGAGUGCUAUUUAAGCUUUACAUUUACCUUAUAAAUGUUUUGAGUGACCAGUGUAAUUUCUCACAAAAAGAUGGGCAUGCCAUUGGUAGACAUUCCAGCAGUACCUGGUAAAAUAAUAAGCGCACAACACAGGAUAUUUGCUACCAUUUAUGAAUGUGGGAGUAAUGAUUAAUAAAUGGUGAGUACUGUUUGUAAUCGCAUUAUAAAUAGUUUAUAAAUGCCUUAUGAAUGGUUUAUUACGGACCUUUCAAAUAAAGUGUUACAGAGAGUCAUUCCCUGUAGUAUUGACAAAGAGGGCUUCUGAUCAUUAUGUGUGAGCGCAUGCAAUACAUUCAACUGCUUUUGCUAUUGUAUAAACAUUUAUGGAAUGCACCAUUUUUCUGGAGAUUGUGAAACUUCAUGCUCCACUGGGAUGAAAGAGAAUCCCUUUUGAAGUGAUUGAUAUAAUUACUUAAUCAUUCUGACUUGUAUUUUGGGAUAAAUUAGUUUGUUCCAACAUUGAAUAAAACAUUUUGUCAUCUUUUCAAAAAGUUUGUUUGAUUACUGACCUUUUUAAUACAUGCGAAUAAACAUUUCAUUAUACAUAAUGCAAGUACAUCUAUGCCGUGUUGGUAUUGUACCUGUGUGUCCCUGUGAUUUCUUUGUACUGACUCAGAACAUAACUAAUUGAAACAUUUCUCAUUUUGACAAAUU